GAUCCCCUGGAGAAGGAAAUGGGAACCCACUCCUGUAUUCUGGCCCAGAGAAUUCCAUGAACUAUAGUCCAUGGGGUCACAAAGAGUCGGACACGACUAAGUGACUUUCCCCUCUCAAACUACCCCUCUCCCUUCCUUACAUGGUGAUGGGAGAUGCCACUAUUAGAGACUAAGGUUUCUGGGAGUCCCCACCUCAGAACUGCAUUUGGCAGUGCCCGUGACCCGAGUCAGCCCUCUGCAGACAGCUGAUCCAGCCUACAGUUAUGUUUUGUUUGAUGUUACCUGUUGGUAUCUGUGUAUGUGUGUGUGUGUGCGCUGAUGAUAUGGUGAUAUUUGGGACUUCCUAUUACACAUUUUGUUUUCCCUGGUAUUUUUUCUUUCUUUUUUUGGCCAUGCCACAUGGCUUGUGGGAUCUUAGUUCCCCAACCAGGGAUUGAUCCCAGGUCCUGGCAGUGAAAGCACCUAGUCCUACCCACUGGACCAUCAGAGAAUUCCCUCCCUGAUAAUUUCUAAUUGCCUUGUAUCCUCAAACUAUUUAUCUUUAUUGUGGUGGUGUUUUAAACUUUCCAGCAUACUGAACAUUCUAUAAUGAAACCUUGAGCACUGUCAGGGUAAGGGGCGCCAACCCUCCCUGCAAUGGAAAAUCUGAGUAAAACUUGACAGUCAGCCCUUCAUAUGCACAGUUCUGAAUCUGUGGAUUCAGACAAUCAUAGUACAGAUUUAGUGAAAGAACUCUGCAUAUAAGUGGGCCCUAGCAGUUCAAAACUAUGUUGUCCCAGAGCCCAUUGUAUUUUGUCUCUUUUUUUUUUUUUUUGGUUAUCUCCUUUCUGGAGCCUUUUAUCCUCAUGUUUAGUCUAGAUUGAUUACCUUAUAUUACCUACUACAUGGCUGUCAUCUGGGAUUUCCCUUCACUGAUCAUUUGAGUAAGCACUACAAGUCCCUAAAUCCACUGCUUUCCUUUUCUAUGAUACUGCUCUUGGGUAAUAGAAUUGUUAGAUCAUAUGGUAAUUCUUGGGCUUCCCAGGUGGCAAGGUGGUAAAGAACCUGCCUGCCAAUUCAGGAGACGCAAGAGAUGCGGGUUCUAUCUAUAGAUCGGGAAGAUGCCCUGAUAUAGGACAUAGCAACUCACUCCAGUAUUCUUGCCUGAAAAAUUCCAUGAACAGAGCAGCCUGGCGGGCUACUGUCCAUGGGGUUACAGAGAGUUGGACCUGACUGAGCACCUGAGCACUCAGCGUGGUAGUUCUAGGUUAAAGUUUUUAAGGCACUGCCAAGUGGCACCAUGUUACAUUCCCACCGGCAAUGCUUAAGAGUUCCAGUUUUUCCACAUCCUUGCCAGCACUUUUCUUUUCUUUUUUGGGGGGAGGGGGCAGUGGACGGCCAUCCUAAUGACUAUGAAGUGGUAUCUCAUUGUAGUUUUGAUGUGAGUUUCCCUAAAGACAAGGCGUUGAGCAUCUUUUCAUGGGCUUUGUGGUCAUUUGUUUUCUUUGGGGGAGAACUAUCUAGGUAGUUACUUUGCUCAUUUUUGAAUUGAUUUUGGGGGGAUUGUAGGAUAUAUGUAUAUAUUGCAGCUACUAAUCCCUAUCAUAUAUAUGAUUUGCAAAUGUUUUCUCCCAUCUUAUAUGUUGUCUUUUCACUUUCUUGAUAGUGGUCUUUGAUGACAACAGUCUUUAAUUUUGAUUAACUUUAAUUUGUCUAUUAUUUCUUUCGUUAUCUGUGCUUUUGGUGGCAUAUACAAGAAAUCUUUGCAAAUCCUGCAUGAUAAAGAUUCUUUAUAUUCUCAUUAAGAAUUUUAUCAUUUUAGCUCUUAUAUAUAGUUCUUUGAUCCACCAUCCACCAUUUUUGAGGUGAUCUUCAAUUUGAUUCUAAUCAUUUCAGAGCAUUCUGGUAUAAAAGAUAGGUACAAUUUUGCAGUUUAAUACACAUUUGAAUGUUUGUUGGGCAGGCAUUAUGCAAUAACUGUACCAUCUCUGAUCUUCAUUUACCUUUAAGUUUAAUCCUUUUGUAAAGCCAGUUUUCAAAAAGCAGGGGUAAGAAUUUAAUGAAGAAGAACUUUUAUUCUACAAAAAAAAUUCCCAUAAAUUCCUCUGAGAUAUACUUCUUUAAAUAACUAAACUUUUAUUAGCAGAAAUCCAGGGAUACAAAAUUAUUGAUGAAUCAGAUAAACUAUAUAAAAUCCUCAUUAACUUAUCAAAAUUACACCUACCUCAAUAUUCUACGUACUCUUGCUUAAUAGUUCAUCGUUAGCUUGUACCAGUAGAGAACUUAAAAAAACAAAGCUUAUUGACUGGGUAACUUUAAAAAAAAAAUAAUUUCAGGUGAGAAACUUUGCUUUAUUUUUAAAUUUUUGAGGACAAAUUAUGUAAUUUAUAUAGUAUAAUGAUUAACUAGAAAGGAAAUCCUGCUUCAUAAUUUCUAAACCCUUUCUGGUUGGAAGCCAUUGAAUUUGAAAACUGAAAACAUUUCCCGUAGUUGUCCCUAGGUGGUGCAAUAUCUUUUCAAUCUAAGGGGUGUGAUCUCCCCUUAGACAGCAGAUCCUUCUAUUGACCAGAUAGACAACUUGUCCCACUGAAUCCUUCAGUGUUGGAAACCAGGCGUUGUCUUGGAGGAGAGAGUUUCCCAGGAUGUCGUUCAGUGAUCUGUCACUGUCAUAAAUCUGCUCCUCCGUGAACAUACUGGAGAAACUUGCUGACGAUUCUGAGUGAGUUUUGGGUGUUUCCCAGAAACCCAAAGUAGUUUUUUCUUCUGAAACUUAUAUCUGAGGUUCAGAAGUCAUUAAGCUAUCUAGAGUUGCUAUUAAGAAAGCCAGAUAUUUAGACAAAUAUUUCCAUCAACUCAGCCUCUGAAAUAAAAAAUCCACAUUUUAAUGUUUAGAAAGAGUAUGCUGGGCGUUGGUAAGUCGUUGAAACUGAAAAAUUAAACAGAAGUACACAUAACUAUGUUUUCACUUAGUUACUUAUAAAGAGAGUUAUUUUUCCUGUGGUAGUGUAGUAGAUAUUGUCCUGCUAGAAUAUACAAAUAGAGAAGAAAUUAAGGUUUUCACUGUAUUCAAAGCCUUUUCUCUGGCAUGUCCUCAAGCACACACACACACACACCCCCCCCAAACAUAUGCAUCCUCCUCAGUUAGUCCAUUCUUGAGUAGCAGUACCUACAUACUGUGAGUACACCUGAGAACCAAGCGCUGAAGGCAUUCAAUAAAAACAAAACAUAUGUUAGUGGCUUUCAUACAAUAAGGAAGUGGUUAUUUAAGGUUAAAAAAAACAUUUCUCACCAAAAUUCAGAAUAUUAGAAUCAGAAGGAAGUAGGAGGAUCAGUGCUAGGCAUCGUAUGAUUUUACCUGUAAAUAUUUCAGCCUGCACAUCUAGAAGACAAGGCUUCCUUUAAAACUUAUAACCAAAACACCAUUGUCACACCUAAAGCGUUAACAAUUCUUCCUUACUGUCAUCAAAUAUCCACUCAGUGUUAAAAUUUCCCAUUUUUCUCCUAGUUUAUAACUUAUUUGAAUUAGUAUAAAAAUCAGAUAUAUACAUUGCAUUGCUCGAUGUGUCUGUUUCUCAUCUCCUACUGCAACUUUAUUUAGGGAUUUCAGUGGUUACAACUUUGUGCUUCCAACGAGAGGGUUUGAUCUCUCUGGUCAGGGAACUAAGAUCCCACAUGUCUCGUGGUACAGCCAAGAAAAUAAUACAGCACAAAACUUUAUUUAAUCUUUAAUUCUUUUUUCCAACUUUUUUUAUCAGAAAAUAUUCAAGUGAAGAGAAAAGUUGUAGAAGCAGAAGGAGGAGGAAGAGGGAAAGGAAGAUGGUGCAGUGGGAAGAGGGGUACCCCUUCUUGCUUGUCAUUGAUUGGGGGACUCCCCAAGAAGAGUGUGCUCUUGACUAACUUCAGCUUGCUCAAGCAUUCACCAGGAGCUGCCCCAGGGAUAGAUAGGUGAGCUCGGGUGGAAAGCUGAAGAGACCCUGGAGAAGCUAAUAGCACAAGCAGUGAGCAAACCAUUCUUCAUGGGGCUGGGAAGUGGAUUUUUCUCGAAAGGGAAUCUGGCACUAUUUGUAGCACACAGAUCCCCUUAAUCACACAGGUUUGAGGAGCAACCCUUCCUGGGCUCUCAUGGGCCCCUAAUCCUGACAGGAAACAGAAGUGGGAGGCUGGCAGGGCGAACCUCAGCCCCUGUUGCUGCAGCUGGUGACAGAGCUCCACAUGGCAUCCACUGCUUUCCCCCUCAGAUCCUAGUUUCCUCUUGAUGAUCUCAAUGAGGGGCCCCGAAAUCCUCAGUUGAGAGGAGCCUGAGCACCCCCAAAUCUCAUCACCUUCCCUCCUUCCAGUUCAGAAGGCAUGGGUUGGGAGCACAUAGAAAUGUUUCUGGAAAAAGACAUCCAGUUACUUGGAAAGAAGUCGCUAGAUUCAGUGGAAGUCAUGAGAUGGAAAAAAAAGAGAAGUCUCCCCAGUUGAUUUUCAUGUCAUGUGAGAAAGUACAAAGGGAAACUCUUAAAGGGUUUUACAAUUACACAAAACCAUGCAAAGAACACUUAACCCACUAAGCUGCGACAGGAUGAUGAGUGAGUUCUCUAGGGGCCCACGUGAAGACCCAAACGUGACGUGACUUUAAGGGCAGUGGGUCCAUUAAGGAAAGGACAGAAUUAGCAAAGUGCUAGGCACUGUGGGGAACACCAAACCACAGAUUUACAACUAGAUGAGGAAGAAAAGAACAGCAUGCAUGAAACAGUUUGAAAAUGAUAGUUGGAAUGAGGACAACGCUAGACUGCUGGGCAGCGCUUGACCAUCUCUCUCUCUCUUCUGAAAAUCAUUAGUUUGGAGGAACAAACCUUGUUGCUUUUUGGAGAACCUGGAACUUAGGAAGUCCAGGAAGUUUUGGUGUGCUGUAGGAGAAUAGCUACUAAAUUCUAAAGACAGAAUGAUACUUGAGUUUUUUGUUUUGAUACCUAUAAGCAAUAAAACGUAGCAUGUUGAAGUUCCUGACCCUUACCCCGUGGGUUCUAUGUAUAUAAUUCCAGUGACAACUGUGUAUUUUUGGUUAAAACAUCAACAACAAUGACAACUUGCUCGUUUCAUUGUCUUUCUUUCCCAUCCAGUUCACAUGAUGUAUUGCUGCUACAUUAAUAUUUGUGGCUGAAGCACCCUACAGUGACUGCCCAGUGACUCAUGCCCUGUAUAAUCCUCUCUCUUUGUGUGCAGAUGAGACCUGUGACUUGCUUCUAAACAAAUAGAAUAUGGCAAAGGUGAUGGACUGUGACUUCCCUGAUAUAGAUAAGUUAUAGAUAGGUUACUGUCUAUAUCAUCUGUAUCUACAGAAGCAGAGCUGGUCUCUACAAAUCAACAGAAACAGCAUCUCAGAAACAACACCUGAGACCUAAAGGAUGCUAAAUGGCCCAGUGAAGGAAACUGGGGUAUGCCAUUUAGGACGCUGAUGGAUCUGUAAUGUGUCUGUGGGAAGAGAGUGUCUAAGAUGGGAGGAGGAGAAGGAGAAGUUUGCCACAGCAGCUGUAAAGAAAAAGAACAAAGAGUCUCCCUCAUUACUCAGUUCUAAAAAGGGUUAAGUUGCAACUCACUGCAGCUGCCCACAGUGUGCACUGAGGGGAAUUCAGGAUGAAGAAUAGGAUGAAGUCUUCUUGUUUUGAAUAUAUAGCCCCAAAGCAGUUAAAUGCAUAUUCAAGAAAGAAAUUCAGUGAUGCCAGAUUCUUGCAUAGAAAAGCACUAAAAUAAUUAUUUGAAAUUCUCUGUGUUUGUCAUUAGCAGUAAUCUUUUUACCAAGAUAUAUGUUUAACUGCAAGUAUUUCCGAGCCAAAAAAUUCACAUAGGCUCCUUGCCUGCAUCCCUACUUCUUUGCAGCGGUGCCCUCAGAGUUACUUACAUGCUGUUUCCUGGACUAUAGUUCCCAGUAAGGUCCGUGAAUAAAACUCAACUCACAACUUCUACAUUGUUUUCCUUCCGGUCAACAGUUUUGGUGACCAUGGAGUGUCCCACAGCUGACUGCUCUCCUUUGCCUAAACUCUGCACAGAUCCAAACACUUGCUACCAGCCAGGCCCCUUGUCCCUGUCCAUCUCCUAAAUGAGCCCAGAUGAUACGGUCCCAGCUGCACAAGAAAUGGAAUAUUUCCUGCCACAUCUGUAAACAAGGAUGUCACCGUCAUCAGCGACUGCAGCCCUCCACUGUGAGCUGGUGAGCCCUCAGAGAACUCAGCAAGGAGAAGAACACCUGUGAUCUAGCAGCCAUCAACUACAGCCACUGCCUAUGGUGAGCCUUGAGGAAAGGAAGCCCAGAAUGCGAAAAAUGCAGGAUCCUGGCCCACAGACCCAAGGUGCAAUCAAAGAAAUGAUUUCAAGAAGAGUAAACCUUUCCUUGUACAGUAACUACAACAAGCAGCAAGUUGAUAAAGUAUACCUUUGGAGAUGAAGAUAAGACAUUUACUUUUUUCCCCUCUACUGAAUCUCUCCAGAAUUUGCCUUCUACAGCAGGCUCCCCUCUGGGCUUGUUGGCUUAUCAUGAUCCUGGUUACAACUAGUUACACUAAUCAGCGUUGUGAACUUUUCUCUGUUGUCUUCAGACUGUUUAUGUUUUAUGUCUCUUGAUGCUAUACUGUGACUUUAUUAAUGCUAUUAGCUACAUUACUUAUGGGCUUCCCAGAUGAUGCUAGUGGUAAAGAAUCCACCCCCUGAUGUAAGAAAUGCAGGUUCGAUCUCUGGGUUGGGAAGAUCCCCUGGAGGAAAGCAUAGCAACCCACUCCAGUAUUGUUGCCUGGAGAAUCCCAUGGACGGAGGAGCCUGGUGGGCUACAGUCCAUAGCAUCACAAAGAGCUGGACACGCGUGAAGUGACUUAGCACAGCAUAUCAGUGCUAAAUAUGCCUGUCUUUUAUAAGAUUAUUGUUCUUUACAUUACUUGAUGUAUAACAAAACUAAUGAUGGAUAAUUGUCUUGAGGCAACUGAUCACAUAUAUAGCUUUAUACACGAUUACUUAGGAAAAAGCAACAGGAGAGAAGCAAUUCCUGGAUCAUAAUAGACUGCUGCUGCUGUUACUGCUGCUAAGUCACUUCAGUCGUGUCCGACUCUAUGCGACCCCAUAGACGGCAGCUCACCAGGCUCCCCCAUCCCUGGGUUUCUCCAGGCAAGAACACUGGAGUG